UGGGGAAUAUUGGACAAUGGGCGCAAGCCUGAUCCAGCCAUGCCGCGUGAGUGAUGAAGGCCCUAGGGUUGUAAAGCUCUUUCAGCGAGGAGGAUAAUGACGUUACUCGCAGAAGAAGCCCCGGCUAACUUCGUGCCAGCAGCCGCGGUAAUACGAAGGGGGCUAGCGUUGUUCGGAAUCACUGGGCGUAAAGCGCACGUAGGCGGACUUUUAAGUCAGGGGUGAAAUCCCGGGGCUCAACCUCGGAACUGCCUUUGAUACUGGAAGUCUGGAGUCCGAGAGAGGUGAGUGGGAACUCCGAGUGUAGAGGUGAAAUUCGUAGAUAUUCGGAAGAACACCAGUGGCGAAGGCGGCUCACUGGCUCGGUACUGACGCUGAGGUGCGAAAAGCGUGGGGAGCAAACAGGAUUAGAUACCCUGGUAGUCCACGCCGUAAACGAUGGAAGCUAGCCGUCAGGGUGCAUGCAUCUUGGUGGCGCAGUUAACGCAUUAAGCUUCCCGCCUGGGGAGUACGGUCGCAAGAUUAAAACUUAAAGGAAUUGACGGGGUCAUAGCUGUUUCCU
rnacentral:rRNA from 1 species